GACGAACGCUGGCGGCGUGCUUAACACAUGCAAGUCGAACGAAGUGGCGAACGGGUGAGUAAUACGUGAGUAACCUGCCCUCCUUUUUGGGAUAAGCCUUGGAAACGGGGUCUAAUACCGAAUAAAGGGGGAUGGGCUCGCGGCCUAUCAGCUUGUUGGUGGGGUGAUGGCCUACCAAGGCGGUGACGGGUAGCCGGCCUGAGAGGGUGACAGGCGACAUUAGAACUGGGAUACGCCCCAGACUCCGACGGGAGGCAGCAGUGGGGGAUAUUGCACAAUGGGCGAAAGCCUGAUGCAGCGACGCCGCGUGGGGGAUGAAGGCUUGCGGGUUGUAAACCUCGUGCGCGAUCGAACGGGUAGGGGGAGAAGAAGCGCCGGCUAACUACGUGCCAGCAGCCGCGGUAAUAC
rnacentral:rRNA from 1 species